GAUGAACGCUGGCGGCGUGCCUAAUACAUGCAAGUCGAGCGAAGCGGGGACGGGUGAGUAACACGUGGAUAACCUCCUAUAAGACUGGGAUAACUUCGGGAAACCGUAGCUAAACCGGAUAAUUAUAGAUGGAUCCGCGCUGCAUUGGCUAGUUGGUAAGGUAACGGCUUACCAAGGCAACGAUGCAUAGCCGACCUGAGAGGGUAAUCGGCACACCUGGAACUGAACCACGGCCCAGACUCCAACGGAAGGCAGCAGUGGGGAAUCGUCCGCAAGGGACGAAAGCCUGACGGAGCAACGCCGCGUGAGUGAUGAAGGUCUUCGGAUCGUAAACCUCUGUUAUUAGGGAAGCGGUACCUAAUCAGAAAGCCACGGCUAACUACGUGCCAGCCGCCGCGGUAAUAC
rnacentral:rRNA from 1 species